rnacentral:rRNA from 1 species
UCUCAUACCACCUUGAACGUGCCUAGUCUCGUCUGAUCUUGGAAGCUAAGCAGGGUCGGGCCUGGUGAGUACUUGGAUGGGAGAAAAAGAAAGACAGAGAGAA